CUCGCUUAGCCUUAGCCAUACUCGCAAUCUCAAUUCAACUCUAAGCUUUUCUGAAAUGGUUAAAAAGGAAUAGCAAGGGUGAGUAACAAUGCUCAGCAAGUGUAUAUAAGCUAUUCCAAGUUACAGAAGAAUUGUCGAAUUGGAUUCAUCACAUUUUUACUUAAAAACCAAAGGUUAGGCUGCUGAUCAGUCACGCACUAACCCCGAACAUGGCACACAACCCUGUUCUCUAUACUGGAUCCAAGGCACACAUUGGCCUAUAAUUGACCACGAAUCUGGUCUGACCACGAAUCUGGUCCACAUAUUUUAUAAAAACUAAUCCAAUUCUAACAAUUGAAAUCAAUAGACAAUUCAAUCAACAGAAUAGAAUUAUAAUCAUUAUCAACAACAGAAUUAUUCCAAGUCAACUUUCGAGAAUCAACAUUUCAUAAACCACAGUUCGUCCUUUGAUAAAUCAUAGUUCAGAAAAUUCCUAAUUAUUCAGUAUCCUCCAUUAUCGGCUAAGCAACUGAAUUUAGCCUGCUAAACCAGCAUGACAAUGGCGGGUUGAAUAAUCAAGAAGAUCCCAGUUCAUUCUAGGUUCUAACUAUCACUGAGCAACACAUGCUUCAAUGACGGUCUGAACUUCGAAUCAAUUUGUAAAGCUGGUAUUUUUAAUAUCUUGAGGAUUGGAAAGAAUGGAUCAGAAUACUUGUAAUAGAAAUUGAGAGUAAUUUGGUGUUUGGAUUUUCAAAACUUGGAAGAAGAAAACAAUCAUAGGUUUCAUGCUCAGAAGUAAGAGUUUAUUUGAGAAGGGUUUCAGUAUAAACAAUAUCACAAUCUUGACAGAAAAAUCAGCACAUGCAAUAUAUAUAUGAGGAAGGAUUUAGGAAAACUUGCCUUAAAUCCGAUUCCAGUCUCAUAUCUCAAUCUCAUCUUUCCACUUUCACACUCUAUGCAUAUCAUAGUCUCUAGACCAUCUUUGGCUAUACUCUAUUCGCCACACUGCUUCGUUUACUCGAUUCGUUCCUUAUUCGCUUUGUAACAUCGU
rnacentral:lncRNA from 1 species